AACAAACGCUGGCGGCGUGCCUAAUACAUGCAAGUCGAACGGGGAAAGCCUUCGGGUGAGUACUAGUGGCGCACGGGUGAGUAACGCGUGGAUAAUCUGCCCUCGAAUGGGGAAUAACUAGUCGAAAGAUUAGCUAAUACCGCAUAAGACCACGACUACUGAGGUAGUUGAGGUCAAAGGAGCAAUUCGUUUGAGGAUGAGUCCGCGUAAGAUUAGCUAGUUGGUGAGGUAAUGGCUCACCAAGGCGAUGAUCUUUAACUGGUUUGAGAGGAUGAUCAGCCACACUGGACCUGAGACACGGUCCAGACUCCUACGGGAGGCAGCAGUGGGGAAUAUUGGACAAUGGGCGCAAGCCUGAUCCAGCCAUGCCGCGUGUGUGAAGAAGGCCUUCGGGUUGUAAAGCACUUUCAGCGAGGAGGAAGGGUGGUGUGUUAAUAGCACAUCAUUUUGACGUUACUCGCAGAAGAAGCACUGGCUAACUCUGUGCCAGCAGCCGCCGUAAUAC
rnacentral:rRNA from 1 species